CCCAUGGCACAUGGACGUUCCCAGGUUGGGGGUCCAAUUGGAGCUUCCCUGCCGGCCUACACCACAGCUCACCCACUGAGCAAGGCCAGGGAUCGAACCCACAUCCUCAUGGACACCUGCUGAGCCACAGCAGGAACUCCAGUCCCUUUCCUUUUACAGCAGACAUGUGAUAAAACGUGACUGGAGAGAGAUGGCUCCACUGGGUCAGCAGCUUUAGCCGGUGCUGCGUAUGGAUGCUUCGUGCUCCUCUCUACAGAACGGACGGUCUUGGGGCUCUUUGUUUUGUUGUUUUUGCUUUAUAAAAAGUGUACUGAAAGAAGACAGUUAGCAGGUUUACUGGCAAGACACAUUAGUUGGCAUUAAAAUGUGUCUUUAGGCUCCACUUCUGCAAGUUUUCCCAAUCCAUGACCCACAGAGCCUGCAGACUGUUACAAACCUAUUCAAAUAAAUACUAUUUUAAAAUACAUAAAAACAUUAUGAAGCAGCCCACCAAGUAAAAUGUAAUUGGCUGCAUCCUCUUACAAGAGCCUCAAAAAGCAGUUUAGUCCUUGAUGCUAAGAGCAGUCCUACAAAAUGCCAACAAGGUGGAGCAUCGUGUCUCAAAGAGUCUUCCGUAAUGCGUUGCUCUAAACAGACUUGACUGCCGGGUGCUGCAGCAAAACACAGAGACCCUGUGCAUCCUAGUCUUUUGAUUCCACCGUUCAGAGUGGAAUUUCUUUCCUUUAAUGUAACUCUUUCCCUUCGGUGUAAGGCGGGUGCAUUGAUACGAACACACCUUUACCAGAAAGGGUUGUAGAAAGCAGAACUUUCGGCAUCUAACUCAAGUUACAAGCGAUCAGCCAUCCGUUAAACGUACACUGAGUCAAGUGCAGUUUUUUAAGGUACUUGAGUGCAGUUAAGAUUCCAUUUCACAGUGUUACUGAGAAUUCUGCACCUAUGUUAAAUCCGAGGUGUUCAGCUUCAGCCAGGAUGGACUAUUAGCGGCUGAAUAAAAACUGCACAAAAUACUGGUUUCCAUCUAAAAUUCCGGACAAAUCCUUCAUGGACACAGUAAUAAGAGAAGCCGUUCUGAAACAAUUAUUCUCUCGAGUAAUGUCUUCUUUCAACUGUAUAUGGAACCCUUCAAAUCCAUACGUAAUUUUGGACAAUUCAAAAUAAACAAACAGGGAGUUCCUGUCAUGGCGCAGUGGUUAACGAAUCCGACUAGGAACCAUGAGGUUGCGGGUUCGGUCCCUGGCCUCGCUCCGUGGGUUAAGGAUCCGUGUUCCUAAUUUCAAGACAUAAAAGUAAGGGAAAAAUCAUUAUUUUGUUCAUUUUUGUCCCUGAGUCGCAUAACCGAGACUAUAAACAUGACGUUGGCCGACCACCUCUGGAGUGAUUUCAUGACAAGUAACGGGUGGAGAGAGAACACACAUAGGCACAGAAUCCUAUCCUGUUGAUUCAAAAAGCAAACACACAUUGCAACGAAUCCCUUGGAACCUGACAUAGUAGACAUACACCAGUUUUCAAGUCUUCUACUGCACCUCGAAGUAAGGUAUUAAUCCUUCGAACACUCCAAGUAGAUCUAUUCAAUUGACAGAGCACAAAAAGUCUUCUUGGGGAGAAAAAGCAAAGAGCCGAGAAUUAGAACCAUUUCUUUAGUUUUUCUCCCAGAUGACAUAAAGUAUGUUUAAUCACAAGAUGAAAGAAAAGCCCUUCAAAAUUCCUUUUAUACCCGCCCCGCAAAUAAAGCGAAUAAACAAAAACCAAACCUAGACAAUCCCUGGGGGGAGUGGAAAUCAGCCAAACUGUAUUGAUAAUGUUUUCUCUUCAAGUAAUUGGAAAAUUCCUCAAUUGUCCUGCUUUCUAGAUGACAGGGCUCCACUUACAGUCAUUGAGCCAAAAAUAGCUAACGGUGAUAUUAGGCUUAUAGGCUGAGACAUGAAAUCGAGUCAGGUAAUGGAAAUGAAUCAUGAUUAUUUGUUAAUAGCUAGAUAGGCUGAACAACAAAAAAAAAAGGUAUUUCGUCUUCUUGUUUUCACUUCUGACAUGCCUAGACGUGUCUUUUAGGCUCUAAGCUUACUCCCUUUUGCUUAAGAGUCAUGAGGUCCCCUGCAGCACUAAUGAAACUGAGGGGACCCUGGGGGGCGGGGUAGGUACCUUCUGGGAUUACUCUUUUCUAACCUCCCGCAUUCUGCAGGUAGCUUCACUUCAAUGCCUGGGAAAAUAGAAAAAAAAUUUAUGUGGCAAUCCAGCCUUUCCCCGGAGGUAAGAGGGCGUGGCUAACAUGCUCAGGUAGAAAAGAUGUACUUUUAGAAAAAUAAACACGUUUCAUAUAAACAAAGACUAGGCUACUUCUAAAGUUCUAGGGAGAUACCCCGAUACUUUUGCUGGUUAGACCUCAGAAGUGCCAAGUAUAUCUGCUUUUCCUUUCGUCUUUACACACUACAUAGCUGAAGUCAGAGAACUGUUCCGUCUUUAACUUCAUUUGCAAAUUUAUUAAUGACAGGGAAAAAAAGAGAGACUCCCCACAGACAGACAAUUUGCAUUUCAUUAAAAAAUUUAAGGCAAAAAGAAAACAAAUUCCACAAAAGGAUGGGUCACAGGAAAGUGCAGUCGGAAGCCCUGCCCAUCCUUCUCCCCGAGGGCCCGUGAUUCAUCACCCACGGCCUCAGUCUGAUGCCACGCUGGCAUCGCCUGCCUCCCACUCUUCUGCUUUCAGCUACUUAAGCUUCACAAGACUGUGGGAUCAAAGAAGACACCUAGCAAUUCUAGGUGAAAUUUAUCAUGGCCAGGAUGACCCAUAAGAGCAAAGCGCAUUUUUCUUCUUAAAGAAUCUGAAACUCAGGAACAAGAGUUAAUGGCAAAGUUUUGAUGUGAUAUGUUAAGAGAUUGGAAACUAGAUUAUUCUCUGAAUUAAACUGUCAAAGAUUUAAAAAGUGAUUAGCUGGAGAGGAACCUUAAUGAGCUCUCUUUCAAAACCUUCGUGUAAUCUCCCAUUUAAUUUUCAUAAUACUUUUAUAAUUCCAUAUAAUUUACGCUUGAUAAAUUUCUUUGAAAAGUCCAACAUAUUAAAAAGUCAUUCAACAUGUAUGUCUUACAGAAUCACAAAGAACUCCAAUAAAUAGGGGUGAAAAGCCCUUCUGCUGGACACCUGUCACCUGCACGGCACACCUGUGUGUACCUGUCACAGCCGCCACCGGCUCGAACUCUGGUCCACGCUGGGCUUUCUU
rnacentral:lncRNA from 1 species